GUCAUUUUGCACACGGUCAAGCGCACGUGAGACAUCGCUGCUGUUUGAGCAGGAAUACCUCACCAAUUAGCAUUUAUGAAGGCAACCUCCAGCGACAAGUGCUGUCAAACCUAAAAGGGCUGCCGUCCUCUUGACAUCCUACUUGAAGAAGGUGAUGGGCAUCUCACUUGGAAGUAUAUGUAUACAGGACAUCAAGGAGAUGGCAUCCUGAGAGACUUGAAGAUAUCCACCAUGUGCAUACACAUCAUCAACAACUGGGGUGGAGAAGCUGGAUAUUAUGAUGACAUUGACAUUAAUGCUGGAGGAGUAAUCAUUCUGGACCACACUGGAUCUGUUGCCUGAGCUCCUUGCGAUGAGGCCUGGAGUCAUAUGCACUAAACAUGUGAAUUCAUUCAGAAAGUACUCUUGCGUUCCUCCAAAGUACUUGGCUCAAUGCUGGACUUGUGGAUUUCUUCAACCGUUUAUCUAGACUCCGCUCUAUCUCAACCAAUUAUAACUUUAAAGGCUGCCUAUGUGUUAAUUCAUCAGUACAAUUCUACCUACAAGAUAGUAUCUCUCAGAAAAUUGUCAUUCUUCAUGAGUGGUUUAACUUUUGAUAUUUCAAGUAUAUUCUGCUGAUAAUACUGCUGUACCAUGAAUAUUAUGAAUACUGUAUAUGCACAAUAUACAUGUCCCGUUGUCUUAAAUGCAGCAUCCAGGCUCAUUGAUUUUUCAGCUAAAUAAAGUAACGUUGUUAAAUAA